rnacentral:rRNA from 1 species
GGCGGACGGGUGAGUAAUGCCUAGGAAUCUGCCUGGUAGUGGGGGACAACGUUUCGAAAGGAACGCUAAUACCGCAUACGUCCUACGGGAGAAAGCAGGGGACCUUCGGGCCUUGCGCUAUCAGAUGAGCCUAGGUCGGAUUAGCUUGUUGGUGAGGUAAUGGCUCACCAAGGCGACGAUCCGUAACUGGUCUGAGAGGAUGAUCAGUCACACUGGAACUGAGACACGGACCAGACUCCUACGGGAGGCAGCAGUGAGGAAUAUUGGGCAAUGGAGGCAACUCUGACCCAGCCAUGCCGCGUGCAGGAAGACGGUCCUCUGGAUUGUAAACUGCUUUUAUUAGGGAAUAAACCCUCCUACGUGUAGGAGGCUGAAGGUACCUGAUGAAUAAGCAUCGGCUAACUCCGUGCCAGCAGCCGCGGUAAUACGGAGGAUGCAAGCGUUAUCCGGAUUUAUUGGGUUUAAAGGGUCCGUAGGCGGGUAUUUAAGUCAGUGGUGAAAGCCCACAGCUCAACUGUGGAACUGCCAUUGAUACUGGAUGUCUUGAGUAUAGUAGAAGUAGGCGGAAUAGGGCAUGUAGCGGUGAAAUGCAUAGAUAUGCCCUAGAACACCGAUUGCGAAGGCAGCUUACUAUGUUAUAACUGACGCUGAGGGACGAAAGCGUGGGGAGCAAACAGGAUUAGAUACCCUGGUAGUCCACGCCGUAAACGAUGAUUACUCGCUGCUGGCGAUAUACAGUCAGUGGCCAAGCGAAAGCAUUAAGUAAUCCACCUGGGGAGUACGCCGGCAACGGUGAAACUCAAAGGAAUUGACGGGGGCCCGCACAAG